rnacentral:rRNA from 1 species
UACGGAGGGUGCGAGCGUUAAUCGGAAUUACUGGGCGUAAGGCGCGCGUAGGCGGUUUGAUAAGUCUGAUGUGAAAGCCCUGGGCUUAACCUGGGAACUGCAUUGGAAACUGUCCGACUGGAGUGUGGUAGAGGGGUGUGGAAUUUCCGGUGUAGCAGUGAAAUGCGUAGAGAUCGGAAGGAACACCAGUGGCGAAGGCGGCACCCUGGACCAACACUGACGCUGAGGUGCGAAAGCGUGGGGAGCAAACAGG